rnacentral:rRNA from 1 species
GACAGAGGGUGCAAACGUUGCUCGGAAUCACUGGGCGUAAAGGGCGCGUAGGCGGGGAUGUAAGUCGGGGGUGAAAGCCCGAGGCUCAACCUCGGAACCUGCCUUCGAUACUGCGGGUCUCGAGUCCGGGGAGAGGUGAGUGGAAUUCCUAGUGUAGAGGUGAAAUUCAUAGAUAUUAGGAAGAACACCAGUGGCGAAGGCGGCUCACUGGCCCGGUACUGACGCUGAGGCGCGAAAGCGUGGGGAGCAAACAGG